rnacentral:rRNA from 1 species
CGAACCCGGAAGCUAAGACUCGCAGCGCCGAUGGUACUGCAGGGGGGACCCUGUGGGAGAGUAGGACACCGCCGGAC